UAUCCUCAUGGUUUCCAUGUUCUCUCUCUCUCUUCUUCUUCUCCUUCUUCUUCAAUCUCGCACUUAAUAUCAUUUCCCUCUCUAGUUUUUUCACAUAAACCCCAGUCUCCUCUCUCAUUCUGAUCUGGUACUUUGUUCAACAAAAGAAUAAUACACACUACUCUCUAAUAUGGAGACCCAAAAACUCUCCAAUCAGCUCGAGAGAAAACUGUCCAUCGAUUCCGAGCCGCGAACGCUCACGAAGGAAGAGCUGGACAAGGCCAGAGCAGCUGCAGAGGCUUUCAUUAGUAGGGACGGUCAAGGCGCUGGAAGAACGACGGAGGAGGGGAGCUCGACCGCCAAAGUUGGUGGCGGCAAAUGCGAAAGCAGCGAAGACAAACUCGCUGCAUAGCCAGUAUGAGGACAUACCAUCAAUCAAUUAAUGGCAGUAAAGGCUUGCCAAUGAGCUAUUUAGUUUUCUCCUAAAACCAUCAUGUGAUCGAAUCUGCUGAUUCCAUAAUAAAAGCAGCCAUGCUGUUUAAAUC